UAUGGGCGAGUGGCUGCGCACUGAAGCCUUGUCUCUGUAUACGCCCCUACGCGGACUCUGCUGUAGAUUUGCUCCAAAGCGCAUGUGUUAAAGCCUUACCAGGCGCACUCGCCAGCCACGCUCCGCGCACGUUGCGCUUAAUAUUGAUGUUAUAGGAAUAUCCCCAUGUCCCAGACUACCGGCACCGUUAAGUGGUUUAACGAAGAGAAAGGUUUUGGUUUUAUCACUCCGGACAACGGCGGUGCUGACGUAUUCGUACACUUCCGCGCUAUCCAGUCCGACGGUUUCAAGACCCUGGCUGAAGGCCAAAAGGUUGCUUUCGACGUUGAGCAAGGCCAGAAAGGUCCUCAAGCGGCGAACGUUACCAAGGUGUAAGCACCCUGAUUGAGAAAAAAGCCGGCAUCUGCCGGCUUUUUUUCU
rnacentral:sRNA from 1 species